GACGAACGCUGGCGGCGUGCCUAAUACAUGCAAGUCGAGCGGACCAAAGGGAGCUUGCUCCUGGAGGUUAGCGGCGAACGGGUGAGUAACACGUGGGCAACCUGCCUGUAAGACUGGGAUAACAUCGAGAAAUCGGUGCUAAUACCGGAUAAUAAAAAGAACUGCAUGGUUCUUUUUUGAAAGAUGGUUUCGGCUAUCACUUACAGAUGGGCCCGCGGCGCAUUAGCUAGUUGGUGAGGUAACGGCUCACCAAGGCAACGAUGCGUAGCCGACCUGAGAGGGUGAUCGGCCACACUGGGACUGAGACACGGCCCAGACUCCUACGGGAGGCAGCAGUAGGGAAUCUUCCGCAAAUGGACGAAAGUCUGACGGAGCAACGCCGCGUGAGUGAUGAAGGUUUUCGGAUCGUAAAACUCUGUUGUUAGGAAGAACAAGUGCCGUUCGAAAGGCGGCACCUUGACGGUACCUAACGAGAAAGCCACGGCUAACUACGUGCCAGCAGCCGCGGUAAAG
rnacentral:rRNA from 1 species